rnacentral:lncRNA from 1 species
UAUUUUUACCAUGUCAAAUUUUGGACAACUACUCUUUUUGAUUUUUCAUUAAUUUGUGAGCAAUAAUAACUUUUUACCAUUUUCUGUUUUUGCUAUUUUCAGUUGUAUUUUACCUUUUUUUUUGUAACCAGCGAAAUAGUUUCAUGAGACAAUUUUUUCAACUUUAAAAAUUACCAAUGAUCUGUGAUUCUCAAGUCAGCUUUUCAUCUAUAACAAAUUUUGCUGUGUAUCAUUUUGGCCCUUGUCGGUUUCAUUUUGGUCCUUAAAACCAAAACUGCCUCAGAAUCUAAAUGGCAUUCUUCUGCCUAUGGAAGAGCCAAGGAUAGAAGUCCAGAACAUAGGUACAUGUAUAUAGGUAUGGCGAUUUGAAGAGAAGUCUAGGAUGAAAUGUAGAUUUGUAAGCAUUUGCAUCUGGGUAUGGGGGCAAGAGAGUGGAUGACAUCUCACCAGAGGGUGUAUAGCGUAAGAGAAGAGCACCCCAAAAAACUAGGAGAAAGAAUCCAGGAAGGAGCGGUAGAAGGUAGGGAGAAACUCACAAGACGGCAUUCUUGUGGAAGUCAAGUCAAGAAAGAGGAAGUGGUCAACAAUGUUGGAUGCUGCAAAGAGGAUGCAUACUGAAAUGUGUGGAUUUUGCAACAAUAACAUCACCCUGUCGUCACUGAAGGCAACCUCAUGAACGGAGAAAGAUAUGCAGCUGGGUAUACAGAAGAGGAGCAAGAAGGAAGCGAAGAUGUGGAGACAAUUACAAGGACAACACUGGGCUGCAAGAAGAAAAAUUUGCUUAUUGAUUGGCUGGUUUGUUUCCUUUUAGUACGGAGAGACUUAAGCAUGGUUAGGUGCCGAUGGGUUAGAGAGGAGAGGAUGAAUGUACAGGAGAGUUGGAACAGGAUCCCCAAGAAGAAAAUUAAGAUCCCAGUCCUUUCCAGGGGUAGAAUUUAGCAUUGCUGCCUAAAUCUCCAUAUCUAAUGAUUCCUCUGCAGCCGUGCCCAAGACAGAACCAUCCUCAAUCUGGCCCAUCCAUUUGGGCUUUUACUUUGGGUUCCCCAUUAAACCCCUAAUUCCUUCCUGGGCCCAGAACUUUCUCCAGAGCUGCUAUCACUUGCUUUCAUAUCUCAGUCAAGGGGAUCUUACUGCCCUUAACCCCACAGUACUAUCACUUGCCAUGACGCUUGAAUAUUACUGCUUUUGAGAAAGUCUUGCUACCACGUGUUGGC